rnacentral:rRNA from 1 species
UAACUGAAGAGUUUGAUCAUGGCUCAGAUUGAACGCUGGCGGCAGGCUUAACACAUGCAAGUCGAGCGGGGGAAGGUAGCUUGCUACCGGACCUAGCGGCGGACGGGUGAGUAAUGCUUAGGAAUCUGCCUAUUAGUGGGGGACAACAUCUCGAAAGGGAUGCUAAUACCGCAUACGUCCUACGGGAGAAAGCAGGGGAUCUUCGGACCUUGCGCUAAUAGAUGAGCCUAAGUCGGAUUAGCUAGUUGGUGGGGUAAAGGCCUACCAAGGCGACGAUCUGUAGCGGGUCUGAGAGGAUGAUCCGCCACACUGGGACUGAGACACGGCCCAGACUCCUACGGGAGGCAGCAGUGGGGAAUAUUGGACAAUGGGGGGAACCCUGAUCCAGCCAUGCCGCGUGUGUGAAGAAGGCCUUAUGGUUGUAAAGCACUUUAAGCGAGGA